AUGUUGGGAAUCCACAUCUUUUCCACUCCAGUAUAUGGCUUCAUUUUAUGGAAUCAACUGAUAGGUGGUAAUAAAUUCCCUGCCGCGGAGAGCAUUCAAGCAGAGGCUGGAGGCUGGAAGGUCUGGCUAACUGUCCCCAGGCCUGGAAUGAAGUCAAGCUGCACACGAGGAUUGAAGCCUGAGAACCAGAAAAGAUAUUUCCUCUCUUCUAAAGAACAGUGAAAGCGUCCACAGCAAAAAGAAGUAACACCAUAGCCCUUUGAAGAUCAAUGUCAAGCUCUGCCCCUUCAGGACUUUCCACAUGCACCAGUACAAUGGCCCUUCUACCUCAAUGGCAACAACUUGAGGGUUACCCAGGAAAGACAGCAAGGAGACGACUAAAUGAUGAGCAAAAUCAUUCGUCAAAGACCACGCGAGACUAGCAAGGAUCAUAGUUGCUGAGUGGGAAAAUACUUUCACUGUUGCAAGCAGCUCAGACCGAAGGGGAACAGGCAAGUCUUUGGAACUGCUUGGAGGGACAGAUUGAGACAAUGGAGGAUCCACGGCCCUGGCAGACUGGCUUCUCUUGCUGCUGCGAGUCCUG
rnacentral:lncRNA from 1 species